rnacentral:rRNA from 1 species
AUUGAACGCUGGCGGCAUGCCUUACACAUGCAAGUCGAACGGCAGCACGGGAGCUUGCUCCUGGUGGCGAGUGGCGAACGGGUGAGUAAUACAUCGGAACGUACCCUGAAGUGGGGGAUAACGUAGCGAAAGUUACGCUAAUACCGCAUAUUCUGUGAGCAGGAAAGAGGGGGAUCGCAAGACCUCUUGCUUUAGGAGCGGCCGAUGUCGGAUUAGCUAGUUGGUGAGGUAAAGGCUCACCAAGGCGACGAUCCGUAGCGGGUCUGAGAGGAUGAUCCGCCACACUGGGACUGAGACACGGUCCAGACUCCUACGGGAGGCAG